GCAGAUGAGAAAACUGAGGCACAGAGAGGUGAAAUAAGGCCCCCAGAAUGCUCUUCUCCAAGACUUAGAAAAAUCAAAUGCUAUCCAUCCCUCAAGAUACAUCCCUCCAGCCCCUCCUUGAAGUCUCCUGCAGCUAGAAGUAGAAGUAGCAUCUAUCCCCAUCUGGACUCCUUAGCACUUUGCUGUACCUGCCUUAGUCCCCAUCUCUUUACACACACACACACACACACACACACACACACAGAGUAUUAUAAUACUAUUACCUAUUAUAUUACAUUAUAUUAUUGUAGUUCUACAGGAACUACAAGGAAUUCUACUGUGAAUUCCUUAAGGGUGGGAUACAUUUUACAAUCAUCACUGUUUCUCUCAUUAGUUGUGGAAUCAAAAAAAUGAGUGCACGAUGAAAAAUUAUUCAAACACAUACAUGCUUUCAUUCCAAUUGAAAAUGUAAAAAUAUUACUGUUAAAACAAUAUUAAAGGACAUGUAAUACAAUUCAAAUAUUCCUACCAUGCACGAUUGUUUUCACUUCUUUGUGCCUCUUUCACCAUUUAUUUGUGUGCAUACUCAGCAUAUUUGUUUGUGUAACAGGAUGUUAAAAAUAGAAUUUGUUGCCUGUAGUUUUUGCUAAAGCUCUACUAGACUGGAACAGAACAAUAGGUGGUAAAUACUCCAUUCCUCAGUGAGAUGCUACCUACCUAUGCAGAGCUGGAAAAGAUUUUGCAACCUGAAAACCCAAUCCUUUCUGAGAUAUAAAAGAACAGAAGAGUCUGGAAGUGAUUUCUUCGGAGAAAUUCAUUUUCUUAUUCCAGAGAAGAAACUUCAAGCUCAGAAUAUUGGCUACUACCUGUGAUAAACAUUUAAAUUAUUGGAACGAGAGAGUUUUUAUAACUAAAUUUGAAAGAAGCAAUUUUUUUUAUCAAAGACCAACCCGAAGAUUCAUGACCACUACCUGUGAUUUCAUCCAUGUUGCAAGGAAAAUCCUGCCCCACUUCCCCAAUAGGAAGAGUGGUGGGGGAAUAAUAAAGUUGUUUUAUGAUGCAUCCUGUGGACUUCUACUCGACAGAAUGGUAACAUUCAACUGUAAUCAGGAUGAGCAAGCCACUUUAUUAAACUAAAAUUUUAAACUUUAAUAAAUAUAAUACAAACUGAAAAAUAAAAAUAAUUUUUCAACUCUACACAAGUAUGUUAACUGCAUAAACAGUGAGAUGUUACACAGGGCUGAGGCCUAUACUUCUUCAGUUUGUACAUUAAACGUCUCCAUGGAGGGUCAAUUGCAUCCUACCUAUUCUGACAGUUAUCAGGUAGCGAGAGAUUUGAGGAAGAGGCGCUUUUCUAAUCUGGGGUAGGAAAAGGAAUGAUACCAUGUAUCAUGAGAAGUAUUUGCACAUAGUGUGUCAAUUAAGCAAGUGCUCAGACUAUUAACAACAUUACUAUGUGAUGAAUGUUUAUACAGUGGAUUCAAAAAUAAGCUUCUUUCCAGAAAGCAGCUUAGUUUUCAUUAAUUAUUACCAGCAUCUUGGUAAUUAUUUAUUUAAUGGUUUAAAAGUUAAAGUUUCAAUCUAUAUUUGUUUUUUUAACAUCAGCCAAGGAAAUACAUGUCUGUUAUACUGCAUCUUUGGAAGUAUGCAAUAAGUGUAACUAUUGAAUCUAUAUUGAAGAGCCACAAGACACUGAAUUUAAUUGGACGAGACUAUUUUAUUUAGGAAGACAAUCAUCUCCUGUGAUCAGCUUAAGGUUUUUGUUUUGUUUUAUCUGGAACAAGCUAAGUUCAUAUUUAGAAAAUAAAGUUAGUUUUUUGGGUGCAUGAGUUUUAGAGUAAAUUAGUAAUUUAGUAAACUUUGACAUUUCCACUUUGUCUCCAAACACAUUUAAAUUCUAUCUGUCUGACUGAAGUUCUAAGGCAUUCUGUGGUUACUUAGAAAUGAUUCCUUAUAUUAAUGUUUACAAAUGCUAAAUUGUAUUUGUUAAAUACAUGUCUUAUUGCCUAAGAGUUUUCCUUUCUUAUAAGUUUAAUAUAAAUGUCUAGGAAAUAAGACUCCCAUUUAAUAGCUUAUAAAGAAUGCUGAUGUAUCAGCAGUGGCCUUGACAUUAUUGGAUACAAGUAAGAUCUACACUGAUGAUUAAAUCAAAUUGGCUAAGAUUAUUCGUUCUAAUAAAAGCACUGACUCCAUG
rnacentral:lncRNA from 1 species